rnacentral:misc_RNA from 1 species
UACAGAUGGGGCAAGCGAUAAUCGGAAUUACUUCGCGUAAAGCGCUCCUAGGUGGUUUGUUAAGUUGGAUGUGAAAGCCACGGGCUCAACCUGGGAACUGCAUCCAAAACUGGCAAGCUAGAGUACGGUAGAGGGUGGUGGAAUUUCCUGUGUAGCGGUGAAAUGCGUAGAUAUAGGAAGGAACACCAGUGGCGAAGGCGACCACCUGGACUGAUACUGACACUGAGGUGCGAAAGCGUGGGGAGCAAACAGG